AUCACUUCUUGGCCUUUGGGCUAAGAUCAAGCAUAGUAUCUGUUCUUAUCAGUUUUAAAAACUCUGAGGUCCCAUAUCAAUAAUAGUAGCCAUAGCAAUAAUUAUCAUUAUUGCAGCUAGUAUAUUUAAUAUUUAUUACAUGCCAGAUAUAAGGCUAAGUGUUUUACACAUAUUCUCUUUUAUAAUCUUC